ensembl:lncRNA
GAGGGACGCGACCUCAGCGGUGUGCGUGUGGAGCAGCGGGAGGGCCGCUCGCUGCAAAGUGCAAGCAUCAGUGGAGUGGCGGUGGUUGCCCCCGGUUACCUCAUAUCCCUGUUCCUGAAGAGCGCCACACAACACUGUAACCAUAGCGACGGGCUGCAGCUGUACAACCCACCGGGCUCUCCCCUAAGUCUCCUCUGGCUGUCCCACGACACCGGAGCGGUCGCAAUGACAGCGCAGGCGGUGGCCUCAGCCCACUACCACACAAACUACCGCCCCGUGUUCAAGACCACCUUUGCCUCGGACCCCUACGUGCUGGGACUGACCCAUGACGGGCGGGGUGUGCGCUUCUCAGAGAGUGGCACCGUGCGCUUUGUCUUCCAGCAGGCGCUGUACUCCAUGGGCCAGGCCUGCGUCAACGAGGGCUUCCAUCUCUUGGCAUACCUGAACCACAAUGGCACCGGCGUGGAGCUGUCCCGCACCUUCAAACCAGGCGUCCACUACCGGGACACCUCCGUCUCACUGUCCGGGGCAGCCAGGGUUGACCAUGGGGACACACUGGCCUUUGAAGUGCUCUGCCCUGCCCAGUGCAACGUGCGCUACUUCGGCGACGACCUCGCCCCAGGUCCCCCAGAUGGCCAUGACGGUGAAGGGUCCCAGAGAGCAGAAACGAGACUUCGUCUUCAGGGAGAGUGGCACGGCAAGCAUGGCACUGGACCUUAAACUCAUCCACUCCUGCAGCCUGCUGAAGGUGACCUUGCUCCGGCGGGGCGACCAAGAGAAGCGAGG